rnacentral:misc_RNA from 1 species
UUGAAUGUCGGCCUUGAUGGGUUGUCGCUGGCUCCUAUGCAUGUGCACGCCUGUCUUGGACUUUCUAUUCAUCCACCUGUGCACCUUUUGUAGUCUUUUUGGGGGCUGGGGGAAGCGGGCAGCAGCUGCUGUCAGUGGAACCUCCCACUGGGGACUAUGUUUUUUACACAUAUACCAUUUAGAAUGUAACAGAAUGUUGUCAAUGGGCACUUGUGGCCUAUAUAAAAUCUAUA